CACGUAGGGGCCAAGCGUUGUCCGGAUUUAUUGGGCGUAAAGAGCUCGUAGGCGGCUCGGUAAGUCAGGUGUGAAACCUCCAGGCUCAACCUGGAGACGCCACCUGAUACUGCUGUGGCUAGAGUCCGGUAGGGGAGCGUGGAAUUCCUGGUGUAGCGGUGAAAUGCGCAGAUAUCAGGAGGAACACCAGCGGCGAAGGCGGCGCUCUGGGCCGGAACUGACGCUGAGACGCGAAAGCGUGGGGAGCAAACAGG
rnacentral:rRNA from 1 species